ACAGUUCCUAGUUCAGUUGUACUUUGGACUUCGACGAGUGAACUUAGAAAAUUUCGUACUUUCGUGGAACUUUGACAAUCUAUCUCCUCGAGUGGACUUAGAAAUUUUCGCACUUUCGGGGGACUUAGAAAAUUUGUAUCCACGAAUGAACUUAGAAAUUUUCACACUUUCGAGGGACUUUGACAAUCUAUCUCAACGACUGGACUUAGAAAUUUUUGCAAAAUGCCAUUCGAGGAAUUAUUAACAAAGAGUCUACUCAAGUAUAUUUUCUAUCAUUCGUAUUUUCAUAAUUCUAUACUAUUUCUUUUGUUUUAGACUUAGAUUCUGCAAUUUCGGAGGACUUUGACAAUCUUCCGCCAUGAGUGGACUUAGAAAUUUUCACGCCUUCGAGAGACUUUGACAAUCUAUCUCCAAGUGUGGACUUAGAAAUUUUCGCACUUUCGGGGAACUUUAACCAUCUAUCACCACGAGUGGACUUAGAAAUUUUCGCAGAAUGCCAUUUGAGAGAAUAUUAACGAAAACUUAAAAACCUCGUUGCAAUCGCGCGCGUAGCAAUGAAGUAAUCGAGUGUUUGUACCGCUAAAAUAAAAAUAUCGCGAAGUAGAAGCAGUGUUUGUUCGUUCGCGUUUCGCGAUUUAAACCAAAAGUGUCUUUGCAUAGACUGCGCGCAAUGCAGUCGUUAGAGUCAGUGUUUGUUCGUAAAGUUAUUUGCUUUUUUAACAGUCGCACAGACUGUAUUUAUAAUAUAUGGUAGAGUUUCGCGAAAUAAAUUCAGUGAUCGUUCGUUAAUAAAUAACUACCGCGAAUUAGAGUCAGUGCAUCACCGAAGAGGAUCUCAACCAACGUCGAUGUCGACCUACCUCAUUUUCAACCAACUACGAAUCAUCCACCCUCAAUUUCGACCUAAAUCGCGGUCCAGUGUUUUGGAGCCAUCGCAGAACUUCUUAAGUAAUUAGAUCGAGGGAUCGGUCAUCGUUAAAAUUAAAUUUUUACAGGGAAGUAUUAAUUAUAUAUUUGUUUUUUGUUUCAUUGUAUUUAAUUAUUAAUUUAUUUUUUA